GAAGCAGUCUUUUUUUUUUGUGGGCUUAUCUCCAGAGAGAUAGCCAUCUCAGGAGGCACUGACCCAAGCACCCAGGAAUGCCAUGUUGGCAGAAGGAGGAUACAAAAGGGACCAACAACUGUGAGAGUCGGCAAUGUUGCUGCUGCUCUCCCUCUGUGCUUUUGCCUCAGACCAUCGGAACAGCAUGCAACAGGAUACUGCUGGAUCUUGGUGUAUUCUCCUCCAGAAGCUGGCAGAUCGUGGCUUGGACAGACACAUUC
ensembl:lncRNA